rnacentral:rRNA from 1 species
CUUAGCUUGCUAAGGCCGAUGGCGACCGGCGCACGGGUGAGUAACACGUAUCCAACCUGCCGUCUACUCUUGGACAGCCUUCUGAAAGGAAGAUUAAUACAAGAUGGCAUCAUGAGUCCGCAUGUUCACAUGAUUAAAGGUAUUCCGGUAGACGGUGGGGAUGCGUUCCAUUAGAUAGUAGGCGGGGUAACGGCCCACCUAGUCUUCGAUGGAUAGGGGUUCUGAGAGGAAGGUCCCCCACAUUGGAACUGAGACACGGUCCAAACUCCUACGGGAGGCAGCAGUGAGGAAUAUUGGUCAAUGGGCGAGAGCCUGAACCAGCCAAGUAGCGUGAAGGAUGACUGCCCUAUGGGUUGUAAACUUCUUUUAUAAAGGAAUAAAGUCGGGUAUGCAUACCCGUUUGCAUGUACUUUAUGAAUAAGGAUCGGCUAACUCCGUGCCAGCAGCCGCGGUAAUACGGAGGAUUCGAGCGUUAUCCGGAUUUAUUGGGUUUAAAGGGAGCGUAGAUGGAUGUUUAAGUCAGUUGUGAAAGUUUGCGGCUCAACCGUAAAAUUGCAGUUGAUACUGGAUAUCUUGAGUGCAGUUGAGGCAGGCGGAAUUCGUGGUGUAGCGGUGAAAUGCUUAGAUAUCAC